GUCAUGGUUGCAUUCAGCACCACAUGUUUUAUUACUAUGUAACAUGUUUUUGAAUGCCCCCUUUUUUGUACAUAUAUUUUCGUCAUUUACUAAAUAGAUUACAAUUUUUAUUCUUACACAUAUGUUCUGUUUUAUGCCUUCUUAAACAAAAAUCAGGCUCAGUCAUCUUGGCUAGAACGUAAAAGCUAAGGAACAUAACGAUGUUUAUGACGUCAAUAGUGGUUUACAUUGAUACGAAUUUCUUGUAUAUCACUUUAUUGUUAACUUAAGAAAUGCCACAAACGCAUUCUCAAUCCUGCUUUCUGUUUUGGUAAAUGUUUUAUUUUUAUUAGAAUUUUUUUAUAAUAAUGAUAUACUUUGAAAGCAUAUGAAAAAUAAAACGGUUGUUGUUUUAUAACAAGACUGUUUAUCUGAAUAUCAGAUGCAAAAGAAAAUAGGUCAAAAUCAAAAUAAUUUUGGUUUCAAGUAUUUUGAUGUUCAAUCCACACAAUGUUCAUCCAUCAUUUUCUAUUUUAAGGGUUUGUGAUACGUUUUAUAGAAAAAAUAGAAAAAUAAAAAAAAUAGAUAAAAAUU
rnacentral:sRNA from 1 species